UGUCAGUCAGACUGUAAAUCAACAUCACUGUCCUUCAGUUCUCACUCAUUCCCAGUAAAGAUGACGACACUCGCUCUGAUCAUCUGCUCUCUGCUGCUGCUCCUCAACGAGUGUAGAGGACAGAUCACCGUCACUCAGAGUCCCUCAAUGACAGCAGCUCAACCAGGAGAAACAGUCAAAAUCAACUGUAAAACCAGCAGAGAUGUGUACAGUGAUGGUUCUGACGAUUUGUUAGCCUGGUACUUACAGAAACCUGGAGAAGCUCCUAAACUCCUGAUUUAUUGGGCAACCGCCCUCCAGUCAGGAACUCCAUCUAGAUUCAGUGGCAGUGGAUCUAACAGUGAUUUCACUCUGACCAUCAGUGGAGUCCAGACUGAAGAUGCUGGACAUUAUUACUGUCAGAGUUACCACAGUGGUGGUGUGUUCACACAGUGAUAAAGAGUCGUACAAAAACCUCCGUCAGUCAGAGUCACAGUGACUGAACUGAUUCUGCAGCUGCUCAAACACUAUCACUCACUACUGACACACAGAGACCAAACACAGGAACUACA